rnacentral:rRNA from 1 species
UACGGGGGGGGCAAGCGUUGUUCGGAAUUACUGGGCGUAAAGGCUCGUAGGUGGCCAACUAAGUCAUACGUGAAAUCCCUCAGCUUAACUGGGGAACUGCGUCUGAUACUGGAUGGCUUGAGUUUGGGAGAGGGAUGCGGAAUUCCAGGUGUAGCGGUGAAAUGCGUAGAUAUUGGGAGGAACACCAGUGGCGAAGGCGGCUCACUGGACCGGUACUGACGCUGAUGCGCGAAAGCGUGGGGAGCAAACAGG